rnacentral:rRNA from 1 species
UACGGAGGGGGCUAGCGUUGUUCGGAAUUACUGGGCGUAAAGCGCACGUAGGCGGCUUUGUAAGUUAGAGGUGAAAGCCCAGGGCUCAACCCUGGAAUUGCCUUUAAGACUGCAUCGCUUGAACAUCGGAGAGGUAAGUGGAAUUCCGAGUGUAGAGGUGAAAUUCGUAGAUAUUCGGAAGAACACCAGUGGCGAAGGCGACUUACUGGACGAUUGGUGACGCUGAGGUGCGAAAGCGUGGGUAGCAAACAGG